GUAUUGUAAUAAGACUUUAAUUGAGUGCUAAAAGAAUGGAAUUACAAAAAAAGGCUUUUUUAAUUUUAAAAAUUAAAAUUAUUUUUUUUUGUGAAGAAACAAAAAUUUAAAUUAAAGACAAGAAGACCCUAAGAAUUUUUUUUUUUANUUAAAAUAAUAUNUUUAUUUUAAAAAUUUAAUUGGGGCGAUUAAUUAAUAUUAAAAACUUUAUUAACAAAAAAAAAUGAUCCAUUAUUAAUGAUUAUUUGAUUAAAAUACUCUAGGGAUAACAGCGUAAUAAUUUUUGAUAGUUCUUAUAGAAAAAAUAGUUUGCGACCUCGAUGUUGGAUUAGGAUUCUUUUUUAAUGAAGAAGUUAAAAAAAGAAGUUUGUUCAAC
rnacentral:rRNA from 1 species